AGAUCUACGAAGAGGUCACAUGUUUUAGCAUUUGAAUGAAACUUAACUUUUACUUCAUAACAAACCUUUUUUUUGUUUUCUUCCUCGAGUCCCUAGUCUCUACACUAGUCAUGUGAAUGUUUACAGUAAUCUUGAUUCUUGAAUAAGAUGCGAUUACCUUCACUGAUUGUGUUACUCCAAUUGGGUCGAUCUGGGCUCCAAUCGGGCUUUGAUUUGGAAGGAACAGAGAUCGGAUUUAUAGUUGGAACGGACCGGCACGGUGGAUUAAGAAAAUCCCGGUAUGAAUUGACUCGAUCAAACCAUUCGGUUUAGGAAAUUUAAUUGUAUGAACCCGUUUAUUUUAAGUAAACCAGGUUCUUCUUCUCUCCGUCUAUCUCCAAGUCGCCGCCGAUUAUCUUACCGGUGUUUCAUCUCGCUCCACCGUUGAUGCAAAGUUCCCUAAUUUAUCUAAUAAAGGGAAGGAUAAACAAUUGUUGGAGUCCUCUGAUGAAGAAGUUACUCUGCUAUUGAGUAGAGUAAUUUUGAUCUUUGAAGGGAGAGGUCCAAUAAGACUUUGAGUUCUUCGACUCUAAAGCUACAGACUUUCAUGGAGUCAAAGAUUCUCCAACAAAACUAUCUCGAUGACAAGGACUGGGAUUUGACCGGGUUUGUGGAUUUGAUAUUGAAUCGACAACGUGGUAAGUAACUGUAGUCAAAGUAGCAGAUGAUGAGGAUCAAGCAUUAUUUGCUCUUGUCACUGCUCUUAACUUGGCAAGAUACAAGGCAAGCCAUGUAAAAACUCAUCUUUGUUACGUGACUUUUCUUUUUUUUUUUUUAUCUAUGCUUAAUGAUCGAAUUGAAUGUUUGAAAGGUGUUUGUUCGUAUUUGGUUUUAUAACUUUACGGUAUGCAUUCAAUUAACCACUGUACAUGUAUAACUCUUUUGCGUUCAGGACAGUAAGUGCUUUAGAGAGCAAAAAGAGUUUUUAUUAAUGUUUGUCCAGAGAAGACUUUAUAGCGAGUGAUCUAGAACUACUCUUGGAGAAAAAGGAGAAAGAUGUUGGUUUACUGGUAUCUCAAAAGAGUGUUGAAUCUCCCACCACAGCUCCUUCCUCCACUAUAUGAUGGAUUGUUCGACGAAGUCUCAUGGGCCACUGAAGACGAGGUAUGGUCUUUUGAAGAUAAACUCAGGUAUGUUCUUUACUCAUGAGAAAAUGUUAAUUUAACAGUUUGAAGUUUCGGUUUAUAGCCUACAGAAGAACUUCGAGGGUCAUUCCGCUUCAAGUCAUAUAUUCUAUAGUCACUCUACUCACUAAGAUUUAGAAGUUGAAGCAUCCCAAACAGAGAAAACCUUGUUGUAGUGAAGACGAACAGGAGGAAACAAUAUUCCUUAAGCCUGAAGAUCAGAUUACUCUCGAG